rnacentral:lncRNA from 1 species
CUUAAAUCAUAUUUAAUUAAAUAAGUAAUUUUUAAUUACAUUAAGUUAUAUAAUUAAAUCUAAUUAUAUCUAACAACCCUGCAAUUCCAACUUGUAAAGAACAAUACAACAACAACAACAAAAAAUACAAUAUAACUAAUGAAAAAAAUUACAAAUCGUAAUCACAUUGGUUAAACAAGAAACUUGAUGUAGAAAGUGGUAGCGGACGAGAUCCAUUACUCUCGUCGAAGUCUUCGGCCUACUUUGAGCUAACUUGAAAAUCUUUCGGUGUCUCCAAACAUCAACUACAUAUAGAAUCAAGAAUCUCAAUCUUAGGUUUUCAAAUGCAAAUUUGGUUAACAGAAUUUAACCACAUUAAGAUGGAAGCAUAAAGAGAAAUGUAUAACUAUUAUAGGAUAAAGAGAGUGAUAAUUGAUUUACUACCACAAGUAAAAACACAAUUAAAAAUGAUUAACUAAAUCGAUAGAGAAAGAUAAAAUGUUGAACUACCAUAAGGUAGAAAAGGCUAUUGUGGCUAAUCAAGAAAGAAAAUUUCAAGAAAUAUAUCUCCAAACACUUGAAGUAAAUGAGAAACAUAAUUGGAGCAACAUAUUUAUCUUUUUACCCAAAUGAGAUUCAAAUCUUGAAACCCAAAUUUUUGUCCAUGCUUAUCGCUGAAUGAGAAGGUACAAGCAUGGAGUAAUAUACCAAUUUUUAAUUUUUGGGUUUGCUCAUGAUAAUCAACAUAAAAUGCUCUUAUUUCGCGAUCUUAAACUCUAAGAGCCAUUAUGUCGUUGAAAUUUACCAUGACCAUCAAACUUCAACAUUUCUCCUUAAUUACUACUUCUUGCUCAACGAUUGAGAUUGCUUAAUUACCACUUAUUUCAUGUGAACAAAACAAAUAAAGCAAAUAUGUGUUGAAAGAAGAUUAAUGAAUAUGAUUGAUGAAAAUUUGAUAGAGAAAAUGGAAUGAAGAUAAUUAUGUCUUCAAGAAUGAUUUCAUAGCUCUGAUAUGAUAUGAGAAAUAUAAGAACUAAGAGAAAAAGAGGAAGCCAUAACUUCAUAGCUCAAUUGAGAAAACUUAAAAUGAAUUCAUAUUUCAUAAAAAGAUGAAAUAUGAUAUUCCUAUUUAUAUUGGUUAGUGAACACUAAACUUCUAACUUUUUUCUCUAACUAACUCGAAUUAGAACUAACUAUUUCAACUAACUAUAGUUGUAACUAACUAUCUAUUUCUAUUCUUAACAAUACGUAAAAAAGUGUUAUAUGGUCUUAUAAAUAUGGACAAAUAGAGUAAUAUAGUAAACAUUUAAUCAUUUUUUUUAUGAAUGUUUAAAGCGUUGUCACUAUAGUUUCUGAAUAUAUCAAAAUUGCAAAAUACAUUCUCAAUAUCUCUUUUGUUAAAUAAAUCAUGAACUAAACUCACCAAUAAAAACACUUUUAUCAAUAUUUAUUUUAUGCAAAUAUAAAGAAACGAGGAGGAGGUAAAAAUGAGGUAGAGAGAGAUGAGAAAGAGAUAAUAAAGAGAAAGGAGAUAGAAGGGGAUAGAAAGGCAUGAGAGUAUAGGUUGAGAGAUAUGAGAUAGUGGAUAGAGAGAUAAAAGAGAAAAAGAGACACAAGAGUAUAUAGUGAGGAGAGAGAUAAGAGGAGAAAAAAAGAUAAGAGAGUGAGAGAGUAUAGAGAGAGACACUAGAGCAGAGAGAGAUAAGAGGGAGAGAGAGUACAUAGAGAAGAAAAAG